UGCGUGAGAAGUCACGCGUAGUACACCCUCCAGAGCGUGUCAGCGCGCGUGUAGGCGCGUGAAGAGCGCGUGAGUGACCGUUUUCCCUCCGUUCGACCUCCGUUUGCUUGUUCUUUGCCUCGAUUUCAACUCUGAUCCUAUUUUUAUGUGAAUUAGAACCUAUCAAGGAAAUUCCAGAAUUUUUGGAACCU